AUUAUUAAUUUUCUUAAGUACAGGUUUCAUUUUAAAAUUAUAGCAGUGAACUAAGGGCCAGUGAAACUUUGGCAAAUUCCCUCACUGUAUUAGUUUGUUAGGGCUGCCCCAACAAAGUUCUACAGACUGGGUGGCUUAAUCAGAAAUUUAUUUUCUCUGUUCUGAAGGCUGGAAGUCCAAAAUGAAAGUGUUGGCAGGGCUGGUUUCUCUGAGGCCUCUCUCUUGGCUUAUAGAUAGAUAGUCAUAUUCUCCCUGUGCCUUCACAUGGUCUUCUCACUGUACUUGUCUGUGUCCAGAUUUCUUCUUCUUAGAAGGACACCAUCAUUAGAUUAGGGACCCCCAGUGACUGCCUGUUGCCUUAAUUAACUAUGUAGGACCCCAUUCCCAAGUACAGUCACAUUGUGAGAUACUAGGGGUUAGUACUUUGCAGUGGUCUGAUCUGAAUGUUUGUGUCCCACAAAUUCAUAUGUUGAAAGCUAAUGCCCAGUGUGAUGGUUUCAGGAGGUACAGCUUUGGGAUGUGAUUAGGUCAGGAAGGUAGAGCUUUCAUGAAUGGAAUUAGUAAAAAAAGAGAUUCUAUAGAGAUCUCUUACCCCUUCUCCCAUGUGAGGUUACAGUGAAAAGACAUGUACAUUUGUAAUCCCUUG